rnacentral:rRNA from 1 species
AAUCAACGCUGGCGGCGUGCCUCAGACAUGCAAGUCGAACGAUUAAAGCUCUCUUCGGAGAGUGUAUAGAGUGGCGCACGGGUGAGUAACACGUAAGUAAUCUACCUUUGAGUGGGGAAUAACAAUCGGAACGAUUGCUAAUACCGCAUAAUGCAGCGGCACCGCAAGGUGACAGUUGUUAAGGAGCAAUCCGCUUAAAGAGGAGCUUGCGGCAGAUUAGCUAGUUGGUUAAGGUAAAUGGCUUACCAAGGCUACGAUCUGUAUCCGGUCUAAGAGGACGGUC